GGUGUUUCUGGUCCCGAGCUCAGCUGAGCUCGUUUUCUGGACCGUACCCUUGGUGUGGAGAUCUGUGUUCUUCAGGCCUUUUGGGACCCAUUCGACACGCAGAAAAUCGUAAAACAAGGCUAUACGUGUAUGUGCCAACGGGUUAUGGUGGGCCAGAAUGUGACGGCCGUGUGGACGCCCUCCCGCGACGCAGUGAAGGAUAAUCCUGUGUACGGUUGGUACAGAUGGCUGGUAGUCCUGUGCCCGCGGGUACAGAAUCGGAGAACGCCCGUGUGCAUUUGGUGAGGGUUGUAGGUGGUCGGCGAGUAUCUCCGCGGGGGGCGACCGAUUCCGAACUGGAAGCGGUGGGCGGGAUCGGUCGAACUGCGGAAGAGGCAAGGGAAGGCGCCGUCGAGGAGAGGGGAACCAAAUGGAUUUCCUGCUCGAUCCAGUCGUCGGCUGCCCGGUGUACGAGGGCAUGUGAGAGAGCUUUCCUCCCAUGGAGCUGAACCAAGACUAGCGGAGACGGGAUCUGGACGGCGAGCAUUGCGCCAUUGUGGCAGAGAUUGUCACCGCGGCAGAGUUGACUCUGGGUCUGCAGAAGGGGGUUCUGGAGGAUUUAGAUGAUGGAGUCAGUUCCGGCUGGUCGGGGGACGGCUUCAAGCAAGAAUCAGCUCAGUACCUAGCGCAAGCUGAUCCUAAAAGCUCCAGGCUAGUCAAAAAGGCUUUUAGGAUUGGUUUUGAGACCACCUUCCCCAGGAAGGAGGGUGUGCUUGGACAGUCUGUCAGAGAGUUUGCCAAGAAUCUGUCUAAUAAUGUGAUUGAGGUAGAAAUUGGGGUGAGCUUUGACUCCCUAAAUGAAGCAUAUGACUUCUACAUUCUGUAUUCUUGGGAGAAUACCUUUGGGAUAAGAUACCGGCAACAACUGCCUGAAUGUCUAGAGGACAAAAUGUAUGCAGGAGAUCUCUUCUGCAAGUGCUCGGGUAAGUUUUUUUUUUGCGAGAUUGCAGGGUAAGUUGGAGAACAAUAACACCAGGUCGUGUAGGUGUGAGUGCCCAGCAAUGCUCUGUUUGCUCCGCACUGAUGAAAACGGAUGCUUCAUCACAGAACACGGGGUAAACCAUAACCACUCACUCUCUUUAACUUGUUGGGAGAGAGUGCACUGGCCAUCACACAAGUACAUUUACGUAUACGCGAGAAAUCUGGUGAAGUAGCUUAGGGAGAAUAAUAUAGAUAUUGGUAAAGUUUAUGCCAUAAUAGGUAGGAGUAGUUCUUUUGGAAGUAUGGAGAAUGUCCCAUUCACCAAGAAAACACUAAAAAAAAUUCGUGUAAGAUUAGUCGCGAUCAGGCUGAUGAUGUCGUUCACAACACCAUGCAAGUUUUUUUCUGAAAUGACAAAUUAUAAAUGUGACUUCACAUUUUGAGUCCAAACUAACAGUCAAAGCCGCAUCUAGAACCUUAUGUGGGCAACUGGUAGUAGCAAGUCAUAGUAUAAAUAUUUUGGUGAUGUAUUGACAUUCAACACUACAUACAAAACUAAUUUAUACGAAAUGCCAUUCGGUCCAUUCGUUUGAGUGAAUAAUCACUUUCAAAGUAUUAUCUUGGUUGGUGUGAUGCUUAGGGAUGAGCAAUUGAAAGUUUCGAGUGGGUAUUCAGAGAGUUCUCAACAAUGGUGGGAAGGGAUGAUCCACGAAUGAUCUUGACAGGCUAAGGGUUGGUUCUGCAUCGCCUGAGAGGCCACCUUGCCCUUGCAGAAUGGGUUAUUCAGCAGUCUGUCAGAUGUUUUGGUGAGAAUCCAUCCGAAAAAUGUCAUAAAGCCAGAACUUGGGAUGAGUUUUGACUCGCUAAAUGAAGCAUAAUAGGAGAGCAUUGCUCAGAGAUACGGUGUCGCUGACAAUACAGUUAGCCACGGUAAUGAUUUAUGGCUAGUUUGGUGAUAUAACAUGUGACACAGCUGCACAAGAUAGAUAAGUACAUCAAUUGUGGAGCUGCUGGAGACCGGAAGAACAUCCAGCAAUACGCCUUUGCUGCAGGAGGCCGCCCCAGCAGAACCAAAUGUCCAUGCUGUGUGUGUAGUCUCAUUGGCGAUUCAAACUCAGAGAACAUUCAAUUUGUUAUAAUUUUUUUGUUGCCUUAAUUUUAGCUUAUUUCGUCCUGGUAGAUGGUAAUGUUGUGUAAGGAGGUGCUAUGUUGUGGGAUGGAACUACUAGCGGUACAUGUGGUUUGUAAAAUGAGGGUACAAGAAAGUUCCAUCAUGUACUACCGGCUCAAAAGGAAGCAGGCGCAUUGAAGAUGUCUGUACAAAGCGGGCCUAAGCACUGUUCAAAAAGAGAGAUACAAAGAGAGUAUAUGUCUGAAUACGCUGACAGACUGUUGGGGUGGCUGAAUGUGAUUGGUCAAAGCAAACAGGAGCAUCUAGUCCUGGGA